rnacentral:rRNA from 1 species
GACGAAGGAUGCAAGCGUUGUCCGGAUUCACUGGGUUUAAAGGGUGCGUAGGUGGGCAGGUAAGUCAGUGGUGAAAUCUCCGGGCUUAACCCGGAAACUGCCAUUGAUACUAUCUGUCUUGAAUACCCUGGAGGUGAGCGGAAUAUGUCAUGUAGCGGUGAAAUGCUUAGAUAUGACAUAGAACACCCAUUGCGAAGGCAGCUCACUACGGGAAUAUUGACACUGAGGCACGAAAGCGUGGGGAUCAAACAGG